rnacentral:rRNA from 1 species
CCUACGGGGUGCACCAGUAGGGAAUCUUCGGCAAUGGACGAAAGUCUGACCGGGCAACGCCGCGUGAGUGAAGAAGGUUUUCGGAUCGUAAAACUCUGUUGUUAGAGAAGAACAAGGACGUUAGUAACUGAACGUCCCCUGACGGUAUCUAACCAGAAAGCCACGGCUAACUACGUGCCAGCAGCCGCGGUAAUACGUAGGUGGCAAGCGUUGUCCGGAUUUAUUGGGCGUAAAGCGAGCGCAGGUGGUUUCUUAAGUCUGAUGUGAAAGCCCCCGGCUCAACCGGGGAGGGUCAUUGGAAACUAGGAGACUUGAGUGCAGAAGAGGAGAGUGGAAUUCCAUGUGUAGCGGUGUAAUGCGUAGAUAUAUGGAGGAACACCAGUGGCGAAGGCGGCUCUCUGGUCUGUAACUGACGCUGAGGCUCGAAAGCGUGGGGAGCAAACUGGAUUAGAUACCCGUGUAGUC